rnacentral:rRNA from 1 species
GCGUCUUGCAGACAGUCGGAGGGACAUUACCGAGUUUACAACUCCCAAACCCAAUGUGAACGUUACCAAACUGUUGCCUCGGCGGGAUCUCUGCCCCGGGUGCGUCGCAGCCCCGGACCAAGGCGCCCGCCGGAGGACCAACCUAAAACUCUUUUUGUAUACCCCCUCGCGGGUUUUUUAUAAUCUGAGCCUUCUCGGCGCCUCUCGUAGGCGUUUCGAAAAUGAAUCAAAACUUUCAACAACGGAUCUCUUGGUUCUGGCAUCGAUGAAGAACGCAGCGAAAUGCGAUAAGUAAUGUGAAUUGCAGAAUUCAGUGAAUCAUCGAAUCUUUGAACGCACAUUGCGCCCGCCAGUAUUCUGGCGGGCAUGCCUGUCCGAGCGUCAUUUCAACCCUCGAACCCCUCCGGGGGGUCGGCGUUGGGGAUCGGCCCUGCCUUGGCGGUGGCCGUCUCCGAAAUACAGUGGCGGUCUCGCCGCAGCCUCUCCUGCGCAGUAGUUUGCACACUCGCAUCGGGAGCGCGGCGCGUCCACAGCCGUUAAACACCCAACUUCUGAAAUGUUGACCUCGGAUCACGUAGGAAUACCCGCUGAACUUAAGCAUACAUAAAAACCAAAAAAAA